UGAAUACGAGACGCUAAGGCGUCGAAGUAGUGUAUGUCAUACUUCCAAGAAAAGCUUGCACUGUCAUAGAUAAAAAACGCCUGUACCAUAACCGACACAGGUGGGUAGGUAGAGUAUACUAAGGGGCGCGAGAUAACUCUCUCUAAGGAACUCGGCAAAAUAACUCCGUAACUUCGGGAGAAGGAGUGCCUUAUUCGUAAGGUUGCAAUAACAAGAUCCAAGCAACUGUUUAUCAAAAACACAGGUCUCCGCUAAGUCGUAAGACGAUGUAUGGGGGCUGACGCCUGCCCAGUGCCAGAAGGUUAAAGAAGUUGGUUAGCAAUUGCGAAGCUGAUAACUGAAGCCCUGGUGAACGGCGGCCGUAACUAUAACGGUCCUAAGGUAGCGAAAUUCCUUGUCGGGUAAGUUCCGACCCGCACGAAAGGCGUAAUGAUUUGGAUACUGUCUCGGAGAGGGGCUCGGUGAAAUAGACUUGUCUGUGAAGAUGCGGACUACCUGCACCAGGACAGAAAGACCCUAUGAAGCUUUACUGUAACUUGAAAUUGAAAUUGGACUUUAUUCGCGCAGUAUAGGUGGGAGGCGUUGAUUAUAAUCUUGUGGGAUUAUUGGAGCCAUCAGUGAGAUACCACUCUUGUAAUGUUAGAUUUCUAACUUUGAAUCAUUAUCUGGUCAAAGAACAGUUUCAGGCGGGCAGUUUGACUGGGGCGGUCGCCUCCUAAACGGUAACGGAGGCGUACAAAGGUUUCCUCUGAACGGUUAGAAAUCGUAUCUAGAGUGUAAAGGCAUAAGGAAGCUUGACUGUGAGACCUACAAGUCGAGCAGGGACGAAAGUCGGUCUUAGUGAUCUGACGGUACUGAGUGGAAAGGCCGUCACUCAACGGAUAAAAGUUACUCUAAGGAUAACAGGCUGAUCUCCCCCAAGAGUUCACAUCGACGGGGAGGUUUGGCACCUCGAUGUCGGCUCAUCGCAUCCUGGGGCGGUAAUACGUCCCAAGGGUUGGGCUGUUCGCCCAUGAAAGCGGUACGCGAGCUGGGUUCAGAACGUCGUGAGACAGUUCGGUCCAUAUCCGGUGUAGGCGUUAGAAUAUUGAGAGGAGCCUUCUUUAGUACGAGAGGACCGAGAAGGACAUACCUCUGGUGUACCAGUUAUCGUGCCAACGGUAAACGCUGGGUAGCUAUGUAUGGAGUGGAUAACCGCUGAAAGCAUCUAAGUGGGAAGCCCACCUCAAGAUAAGUAUUCUCA
rnacentral:rRNA from 1 species